AUUGAACGCUGGCGGCAGGCCUAACACAUGCAAGUCGAGCGAGAGGCGGACGGGUGAGAAAUGUCUGGGAAACUGCCCGAUGGGGGGGGAUAAAUACUGGAAAAGGUAGCUAAUACCCCAUACCAUCAGAUGUGCCCAGAUGGGAUUAGCUAGUUGGUGGGGUAACGGCUCACCUAGGCGACGAUCCCUAGCUGGUCUGAGAGGAGGACCAGCCACACUGGAACUGAGAAACGGUCCAGACUCCUACGGGAGGCAGCAGUGGGGAAUAUUGCACAAUGGGCGCAAGCCUGAUGCAGCCAUGCCGCGUGUGUGAAGAAGGCCUUCGGGUUGUAAAGCACUUUCAGCGGGGAGGCGUUACCCGCAGAAGAAGCACCGGCUAACUCCGUGCCAGCAGCCGCGGUAAUUC
rnacentral:rRNA from 1 species